AUUGGACGCUGCGGCAUGCUUUACACAUGCAAGUCGAACGGUAACAGGGUGCUUGCACCGCUGACGAGUGGCGAACGGGUGAGUAAUGCGUCGGAACGUGCCGAGUAGUGGGGGAUAACGCAGCGAAAGUUGUGCUAAUACCGCAUACGUACUGAGGUAGAAAGUGGGGGACCUUCGGGCCUCACGCUAUUCGAGCGGCCGACGUCUGAUUAGCUAGUAGGUGAGGUAAAGGCUCACCUAGGCGACGAUCAGUAGCGGGUCUGAGAGGAUGAUCCGCCACACUGGGACUGAGACACGGCCCAGACUCCUACGGGAGGCAGCAGUGGGGAAUUUUGGACAAUGGGCGAAAGCCUGAUCCAGCCAUGCCGCGUGUCUGAAGAAGGCCUUCGGGUUGUAAAGGACUUUUGUCAGGGAGGAAAUCCCUAGUGCUAAUAACACUGGGGGAUGACAGUACCUGAAGAAUAAGCACCGGCUAACUACGUGCCAGCCGCCGCGGUAA
rnacentral:rRNA from 1 species